CCAAAUCACAAGCUUGUUUCUUUAACUAAUAUGUUGGGGUUUUGGUGCCACCAAUCAAAGUUCCUUCUCUGCUCUUUCAGGCCCAGACGGUAAGCUUCUCAUCUUUUUCAGCUCGAGUCGGUUGCAACUUUCUCUGUAGUUGGAGCUUAUAUAGGGGUCAUGAACCUAAAUGGGUUUUGGAUUAUGUAGCUGUUUGCAUGAUCAGGGAACUGUGGUCUUCCAAGAUUUAUGGUUAAAAAAAAAAAAGUAAAAUUCCAUAGCUGACAAUUAUAGCAUAUUUUAUGAUUGCUUGAAAACUGGGAGCAUAUCAGUUAGAAGUAACUGUGAUGUUUCCUUUGGCUUUCUCUCCGACAACUAAUAUCAUUCAAGACCUUUUUUCCUAUCUGUUUUCUCCCUUUUGUGCUUUACCAGGAUCUUCUUGAUAUGUCUGAGAUUUCAAUGUCGUCAAUUUUGUUUCUGUGUUGCUUCAAGUGCAACGAAAUCAUAUAUAUAUAUAUAUAUAUAUAUAUAUGUAUGUAUGUAUAUAUAUUAGUAUUUGAAUUUAUUAUGUACUGGGACAUAAGUGCGCAAGGAUUGUCUAAAGCCAAAGGAUAAAGAAUUCCAGUCUUUCAUCUUUUUCUUAUGGUUUGGACCAUCGUUUGACUAUUUUUAUCAUUAAAAAGUUGCAUAUUGUUAUCAUGAGGUAAGAUUUGUUUCCUUUUAAGGUAAUCAUCUGGUCUAAUGAAGAAUUACGGCAUCUCAUUCAACUGUGAAAGACAUGUUUUUAUCAUAAAACUGAACAGUGUGUUCCUUAAACAAUCACUAAAUUAUUGUUAAUAGAAAGCAUCUUAUCAAUCAGAAAAUUAGCAGUAUUUUUAUAUCCCAUUCAAGGGAUUCAAAUUUUUUUUUAAAUUUUCAAUGUCAUGAUACUUCUUCCCUGAUAAUUAGUGGAGUAAGUGAAAGGAAACUAGAUAGUGUUUCCUUUCAUUUACUUCAACUACAUCAUACAAGUAAACAAAUUUGCCAAUUAAAUCUGCUUUUAUGGAAGGCCUGACUAUUAAAUCUGCUUCCUGUUUUAAAAUCAGAUAAAAAUAUGUAUGCAAAAGUCACGCCUAUUAGAUCCUUGAUUUAGACUCACAAAAUCUUUUGAGACCUUAAUUGUAUAUAUUGUCAUGUUCAGAAAUUUUUUUUUUGCAUAUAUCUGUAUAUUGUCUUCAAAACACAGCUAAACUAUUAUCUCUAUUUACAUGUGAAGUGAUUUAAAUUUUCUGAAGGUCAUAUGGUUCUUAGUUCCCAUGGUAUGUACCAUAUAUGUUUGUAGGUACUUUAUCAAACAUUUCAUAUGGUUCUAUGUUUGAAUUUGAUUGAACCUUGCAGAGAAUCCUAAUAGAAUUUAGAGGUGCACUUUCUAGAACCUUUAAAAUUUGCAGCCAAUCUCAAAUAAAUUUUCUAAUCUGCUUUUCUGACCUCUAUUGGUGAACUUGCAGUAAGAAAAGCUUCCCAUUUAACUGAAUAGUUAUAUAAUUCUCAAACUUUCUUGAAUUUGAAAGUUCCUGGCUAGGAGGCAGUCUACAUGCCAAAAGUAUGACAAAUGAACUUUCCUUGAGUGUAAAGUAAAGUAAUGGUCACUUGGAUCAGUAUGAAGGCUAAAGAAUUACUAGUUUCCUAUAGGGUUACAUCUAUGAUUGGUUAUCUGUUAUGGAAGUAAACUGUUACUGGCUCUCUACAAUUCACACUGAGAAUGAACCAAACCUUUCUAUGACACAAGGGUAAAGCUAAUGCUGUGAAUGGUUGGACUUAGACAUUACAAUUAGCUAUUGUAUCAAAACCUCAGUGUAGAAGAUUUUGUGGUCAGAUUGCUCCUUACGGCUGAUUUAUGUAGGUUGUCCAUGUGUAGAAUAUCUACAAGCAUAUGGAUAUAGUAUUCAAUAUCAAUUUGGCAUUUUGUUUUUGUUUCAUUUGCCUUCCUCUUUUUGGGAAAGAAAGAUAGGAUAUCAAUUUCAUGCUCUUACUGGAUGUAUAUAUCAUCGGUCUAACAGAUGCUGGUUGAGUCUCAUAUACUUUUAUUGUUCAAUGUCCACAUCAAAGUCUAUUAGUUUUAAGUUUACAAACCCUAUGUACUUGUAUUGUUCAAUAUCCAUAUCAAAGUCCACAAGUUUUAAGUUUACAAAAGCCUAAUAUCUUUAAUAAUUGGUUAUUUUAUUAAAAAAUAAUUAUCUAGGAUUUUCUGCUUAAUUUUGUUCCAUCAUCAACCUUAAUUUGGGCAUCUAUGUUAACUUUGAUUUCUUUAGGUUUCUCUGAGUGAUUGGGUGAGUCACCACUCUUAAAUUGACAAUAUAGUGCCAUGACAGAAACUGUCUAUAUUUAGUUCUCCCUUAUUUAUGCUCUUUGGUAAGAUUGGUUUCUUUGCAUAUGUCUGAUAGUGUAUCUAUGUAGGUAACAUGGCUUGUCUGGCAUGGAUGAAACAGCUAGCUUGAAGUUUACCUUCAAGCUAGGAACAGAUAAAGCAUCUUAGAGAAAUGCAGGUCAUCUGAGGAAUUGUGUCUUCUUUCCAUUUGUAUGCUAUGGCAGCUGUGUUAAAAAAAGAAGUAUGUCUCACUUAUAAUCCCAUAGCUGUACCUUGGGUCGAUGGUGCUUCUCUCUUUGAGAUGCUUUCAACUUAGACACCUGCUAUACUUGUUAGUUGUUACCCUACAAAUGUGAAACUCUUGUCCAUCCUGGUCUACCUAUGCUACACAUUGAAACCUAUAUUUUUCUAAGCAUUGAAGUUGAGCAGUCCAUUUACCAGGAUAUGCAAGUUAAUCAUUUUGGAAUCCAUAAGGAUUUGAUUUGAGAUCUACUUUCAUGGAUAAGUAAACUCCUGCUUUAGGAGUAAAUUGCAUGUCAAUUGAAAGAAGUUUCUUAUGUAUACCCAUCAUUUGUUUAAGAAUAGUGCCAUUUAAUGCAAUUCCUGGAAAUUUGGGAUCAAAUCACUUGGUGCAUUACAGAUAUGUGUUGGACAUAUGAAAAUUAGAAGUUGAAUAGCAAGUUGCAGUGAACAUGGGAUGUUUUUCCUACUGGUGUUUGUCUCACAAAUAGCAACAGAUGACUUUUAGAGAUAUCUCAUUUUAUAUAUAUAUGGUCAGAAGUUUGUAGUUAGCUGAUACUAGUUUAGUACCAUACACAAUGAGAGAGGUAGAAAAUACUGGACUCUACUAAGUGGGCACCGCAGCCAGUCAGCCACACACACUAAGCUAUAAUACUGAUGCCAUGAUUUGGAUAAAAAAAGAAGAAUUCAAUUCCUGCUACACUAUUUGUUUCUGAAUAUUUAUGCCAAAAAUUCCAGCAUGUUAUUCGUUGAUGCAAACUCUCUGGCAUUCUGUUUGACACGAGACGUAAAUCGGUUAAAUUGAAUUUUUUAUCUCUAUGUAGGCAUUUAUUGAGAUGCAUUUUGUUUAAUUUCUUUGAAGUUGCUCUAUCCAGGAGAAGAAGUCAAAUGCACUUACAUAUUGCCUUAGUUGGAUAUGUCAUCUUCUGUAAAAUAAUAUAAUAGGAAACUUGUUGCAGAUUACCCUAGAAUGGUUUGCCCCACACCAAAAGAUGGUCACUGCAUAAGAUGAGCAAUGAAGUUGUUUUUCUCCAGAAUUACACUCAUCAAAUGGACUCUUUCUAGCUGUUGAUCAAGCGCAGUAGUCUUCACAUUCCUGGGAUGAAAUUAGGAGCGAGGUACACCAGUUCACUGUCAUCAGCUCAUCAGUUGAGAAACUUACCAAUCUUGGGUAAAUCUAGACGUAAUUCAUGUCCUCUUUUCCUAGACCAGCUUCAUCUUCAUCUCUUUUUAGUUCCAAGCGUAUGCUGCAUUUACGGUAGGGGAGGGAGUCAUAACUGCCUUUUAGAUCAUAUUCUCAUUGUUUUUGCACGUCCUACUAUUGGUUUCACUAGGCAUAUCAGUCAGCAGACUAUCCACCAAGACCCCUGGCUUCUGGCUCGCAAAAAACUGAUGGUUAAGAGUAAGGUUUCUCCCUACUAAUGUUUUCACUUGGCACGUCCCUCCAAAUAUGCAUGGUUGGCAUUUUGGAAACAAACAUAACUUUUUUAUUGAACUAAUCCAUUAUUCUGAUCUGAUUGUAGAUGAUUUAAUAAGGAUACAGCAGCAAGAGCUUGAGUAGUCCAGUGGGAAAACUUUACUAUCAGCAAGCGGUGAACCAAAGUAUUGCUCCAGAGAAGUUUCGAUGCUGGCAGCAAGUCUGGCUACAGAACCAACUUUGAGACUUGGGAAUAACUGUAUGGUAUAGACCUGUAAUUAUGGUUAUUAAACUGAUCCUUUCAACGGCUCACCACACACAAGCAAUGAA
rnacentral:lncRNA from 1 species